UCGCACCUACCGAUUGAAUGGUCCGGUGAAAUUUUCGGAUCGUGGCAGUUUGCCUUCACGGGCGGCAGCCGUGAGAAGUUAAUUAAACCUUACCAUUUAGAGGAAGGUG
rnacentral:rRNA from 1 species